AGUGAACGCUGGCGGUAGGCCUAACACAUGCAAGUCGAACGGCAGCACAGUAAGAGCUUGCUCUUACGGGUGGCGAGUGGCGGACGGGUGAGGAAUACAUCGGAAUCUACUUUUUCGUGGGGGAUAACGUAGGGAAACUUACGCUAAUACCGCAUACGACCUACGGGUGAAAGCAGGGGAUCUUCGGACCUUGCGCGAUUGAAUGAGCCGAUGUCGGAUUAGCUAGUUGGCGGGGUAAAGGCCCACCAAGGCGACGAUCCGUAGCUGGUCUGAGAGGAUGACCAGCCACACUGGAACUGAGACACGGUCCAGACUCCGACGGGAGGCAGCAGUGGGGAAUAUUGGACAAUGGGCGCAAGCCUGAUCCAGCCAUACCGCGUGGGUGAAGAAGGCCUUCGGGUUGUAAAGCCCUUUUGUUGGGAAAGAAAAGCAGCAGGUUAAUACCCCGCUGUUCUGACGGUACCCAAAGAAUAAGCACCGGCUAACUUCGUG
rnacentral:rRNA from 1 species